GGGACCGCUGCCAUGAAUUCACUGCCUACAGGAGGCACUCUUAUCUGACUUAUCGGGAGUGUGGGUUGCUCCAGAGUCUCUCCUCACCACCACAGCCUCCUCAAGUGCGCGGCACAGGACCCUCCAGGGUGGGCACUAUUCCAUGGAGAACCUUCCAGCACAGCUCAAAUGCUCACACCUUGGUGUCAAGGGGCAUCGCUGUGCACACUGCACCUUCCAGAUGCAACUGAGCGCUCCUCAGAGAACCAGUACUUUCCGAAGCCGUACUAGUACAGAGAAGGAAUGCCAGCAGGGACCCCUGCUCUGUAUAGUUUCCAGGCAAAAGGGCACAAGAUGGGGAAACAUAUUCAUUCUUGAGUUUUCUGUCCAUAAGAGCGAGGACCCCAGCGGCUGGGUGCUGAGACUUUGGGGCCUGCCUUCUUAGCGCGUGGAUGGUGAAGCUGCAGAAUGGGGCAGUGUGAGAACCGGUGGAUGGGAAACGGCCUCUGUCUUUGAGUCACACGUUGAGAGAAUACCGUCAUGAACUUCAACUGCAUGCUUUCCAGGAAAGUGGAGAACUAAAAAUAGC
rnacentral:lncRNA from 1 species